GAUGAACGCUGGCGGCGUGCCUAAUACAUGCAAGUCGAGCGAACAGACGAGGAGCUUGCUCCUCUGACGUUAGCGGCGGACGGGUGAGUAACACGUGGAUAACCUACCUAUAAGACUGGGAUAACUUCGGGAAACCGGAGCUAAUACCGGAUAAUAUAUUGAACCGCAUGGUUCAAUAGUGAAAGACGGUUUUGCUGUCACUUAUAGAUGGAUCCGCGCCGCAUUAGCUAGUUGGUAAGGUAACGGCUUACCAAGGCAACGAUGCGUAGCCGACCUGAGAGGGAGGUCGGCCACACUGGAACUGAGACACGGUCCAGACUCCUACGGGGGGCAGCAGUAGGGAAUCUUCCGCAAUGGGCGAAAGCCUGACGGAGCAACGCCGCGUGAGUGAUGAAGGUCUUCGGAUCGUAAAACUCUGUUAUUAGGGAAGAACAAAUGUGUAAGUAACUAUGCACGUCUUGACGGUACCUAAUCAGAAAGCCACGGCUAACUACGUG
rnacentral:rRNA from 1 species